rnacentral:rRNA from 1 species
GACGAACGCUGGCUGCGUGCUUAACACAUGCAAGUCGAACGCUGAAGCCGACAGCUUGCUGUUGGUGGAUGAGUGGCGAACGGGUGAGUAACACGUGAGUAACCUGCCCCUGAUUUCGGGAUAAGCCUGGGAAACUGGGUCUAAUACCGGAUACGACCACCUGACGCAUGUUGGGUGGUGGAAAGUUUUUCGAUCGGGGAUGGGCUCGCGGCCUAUCAGCUUGUUGGUGGGGUAAUGGCCUACCAAGGCGACGACGGGUAGCCGGCCUGAGAGGGCGACCGGCCACACUGGGACUGAGACACGGCCCAGACUCCUACGGGAGGCAGCAGUGGGGAAUAUUGCACAAUGGGGGAAACCCUGAUGCAGCGACGCAGCGUGCGGGAUGACGGCCUUCGGGUUGUAAACCGCUUUCAGCAGGGAAGAAGCGAAAGUGACGGUACCUGCAGAAGAAGUACCGGCUAACUACGUGCCAGCAGCCGCGGUAA